GACGAACGCUGGCGGCGUGCUUAACACAUGCAAGUCGAACGGAAAGCCCCUGCUCCUCCCGGGUCCUCCAGCGCCCAACGCCCCACUAACCCCCGACUAACCUGCCCCCGACUUUCGGAUAACUCCAGGAAACUCCGGCCAAUACCGCACAGCAGCCCCUCCCCCAUGGCGGGGGUCGGAAAGUUUCGGCGGUUGGGGAUGGACUCGCGGCUUACCAGCUUGUUGGUGGGGUAGUGGCUUACCAAGGCUUUGACGGGUAGCCGGCCUGAGAGGGUGACCGGCCACAUUGGGACUGAGAUACGGCCCAGACUCCUACGGGAGGCAGCAGUGGGGAAUAUUGCACAAUGGGCGGAAGCCUGAUGCAGCAACGCCGCGUGCGGGAUGACGGCCUUCGGGUUGUAAACCGCUUUCGCCUGUGACGAAGCGUGAGUGACGGUAAUGGGUAAAGAAGCACCGGCUAACUACGUG
rnacentral:rRNA from 1 species